GUGCUCACUUUGGCAGCACCUAUUUUAAAAUUGGACUGGUACAGAGGUGAUUAGUAUAGUCACUGCACAUGAUUGACAAGCCAAUUCAUGAUGUGUUCCAUGUUAGA
rfam:Otolemur garnettii contig124414, whole genome shotgun sequence.